CCUACGGGAGGCAGCAGUGGGGAAUUUUGGACAAUGGGCGCAAGCCUGAUCCAGCAAUGCCGCGUGAGUGAAGAAGGCCUUCGGGUUGUAAAGCUCUUUUGUCAGGGAAGAAACGGUGGGAGCUAAUAUCUUCCACUAAUGACGGUACCUGAAGAAUAAGCACCGGCUAACUACGUGCCAGCAGCCGCGGUAAUACGUAGGGUGCAAGCGUUAAUCGGAAUUACUGGGCGUAAAGCGUGCGCAGGCGGUUUUGUAAGUCUGUCGUGAAAGCCCCGGGCUCAACCUGGGAAUUGCGAUGGAGACUGCAAGGCUUGAAUCUGGCAGAGGGGGGUUAGAAUUCCACGUGUAGCAGUGAAAUGCGUAGAGAUGUGGAGGAACACCGAUGGCGAAGGCAGCCCCCUGGGUCAAGAUUGACGCUCAUGCACGAAAGCGUGGGGAGCAAACAGGAUUAGAUACCCUGGUAGUCCACGCCCUAAACGAUGUCUACUAGUUGUCGGGUUUUAAUUAACUUGGUAACGCAGCUAACGCGUGAAGUAGACCGCCUGGGGAUACGGUCGCAAGNUUAAAACUCAAAGGAAUUGACGG
rnacentral:rRNA from 1 species